ensembl:lncRNA
GAGAGGGAGAAAGCAAUCGCAACUCUUCAACACCCUGUGCCAUAACAGAGAAUAGAGUAGUACUGUACCUCACAGUAUGAAAAGGAGGGGGAGUUGAGUUCACAUGAUACCCUUCUCUGGGUAGAUGGCAUGUCUGAUAGGGUGGGCUAGUGGAGUUCAUAUGAUACCCUGCUCUGGGUAGAUGGCAUGUCUGAUAGGGAGGGCUAGUGGAGUUCACAUGAUACCCUGCUCUGGGUAGAUGGCAUGUCUGAUAGGGAGGGCUAGUGGAGUUCACAUGAUACCCUUCUCUGGGUAGAUGGCAUGGAGGGCUAGUGGAGUUCACAUGAUACCCUGCUCUGGGUAGAUGGCAUGUCUGAUAGGGAGGGCUAGUGGAGUUCACAUGAUACCCUUCUCUGGGUAGAUGGCAUGUCUGAUUACAGUGAUCCAGUGUUUAUGAUUCUCAUCAGGUAUUUCUGCGGGUAAGACCCAUUGCAGUCAGACUGAGAAGGAGAGAGGGGGUGAGGGAGGCAACUGUUCCCAGUACAUUUAGCUUCCCCAUCAGAGAGGAUUGCAAAAAGCAAUAGGAGAAAUGGACAUCGAUACACCAUCUGCU